rnacentral:rRNA from 1 species
AUUGAACGCUGGCGGCAGGCUUACCACAUGCAAGUCGAGCGAGCGUCGGACGGGUGAGUAAUGUCUGGGAACCUGCCUGAUGGUGGGGGAUAACUCCUGGAAACGGUAGCUAAUACCCCAUACCCUCAGAUGCCCCCAGAUGGUAUUAGCUCGUAGGCGGGGUAAUGGCUCACCUAGGCGACGAUCCCUAACUGGUCUGAGAGGAUGACCAGCACAACUGGAACUGAGGCACGGUCCCGACUCCUGUGGGAGGCAGCGUUGGGGAAUAUUGAACAAUGGUCAGAAGCCUGAGGCAGACAUGCCGCGUGUGUGAAGACGGACAUCGGGUUGUAUAGCACUUUAAGCGAGGAGGAGUUCAUGGAAGAAGAAGCACCGGCUAACUCCGUGCCAGCAGCCGCGGUAAUAC